UACGGAGGGUGCGAGCGUUAAUCGGAAUUACUGGGCGUAAAGCGUGCGUAGGUGGUUAAUUAAGUUAUCUGUGAAAUCCCUGGGCUCAACCUGGGCAGGUCAGAUAAAACUGAAUAACUCGAGUAUGGGAGGGGGUAGUGGAAUUUCCGGUGUAGCGGUGAAAUGCGUAGAGAUCGGAAGGAACACCAGUGGCGAAGGCGGCUACCUGGCCUAAUACUGACACUGAGGCACGAAAGCGUGGGGAGCAAACAGG
rnacentral:rRNA from 1 species